UAAUAAUUUAAUGGUAAAUGGGAAUUAUGAUAUUAUAAAUAAUUUUUUUUGGUGUUAAUAAUAUAUUAGAAUUAAUUCAUCCAUAGAAAUAGGUAUUAACAUUGAUUUAAUUGUGAGUGUUUUAACUGUUGACUUACAAUACGCUUAUGUAAUACUAUCUACUCUAUUACAUUGAAUGAUUCAAAUUACAUAUAUGUAUUAUACAUAUUAUUUUCAUUAUGUAUUAAUGGCGGUAAUACAAUUAAUAUUAUAAAUUGUUAGUAAUAUAUCAUGAUAAGAAAUCAUUGGUUUUUUAUUAUCUAUUUAUGGGGUUAUAUACUGAUUUUUAAUCAAAAUAAUACUAUUUAGGAUCAUUAGGAUUUGAAACUGCAAUAAUGCA